rnacentral:rRNA from 1 species
UAGGGAAUCUUCCGCAAUGGGCGAAAGCCUGACGGAGCAACGCCGCGUGAGUGAUGAAGGUCUUCGGAUCGUAAAACUCUGUUAUUAGGGAAGAACAAAUGUGUAAGUAACUAUGCACGUCUUGACGGUACCUAAUCAGAAAGCCACGGCUAACUACGUGCCAGCAGCCGCGGUAAUACGUAGGUGGCAAGCGUUAUCCGGAAUUAUUGGGCGUAAAGCGCGCGUAGGCGGUUUUUUAAGUCUGAUGUGAAAGCCCACGGCUCAACCGUGGAGGGUCAUUGGAAACUGGAAAACUUGAGUGCAGAAGAGGAAAGUGGAAUUCCAUGUGUAGCGGUGAAAUGCGCAGAGAUAUGGAGGAACACCAGUGGCGAAGGCGACUUUCUGGUCUGUAACUGACGCUGAUGAGCGAAAGCGUGGGGAUCAAACAGG